AAUAACUUGCCAUCCAAUUUCAUUUAAAUUUGACACACAGUUCUGCCUGGGAAAGGAGAUACGACUGUUUCAAUCUGCUUGGCCUUUUUGGAAUAACAAAGCAGAGCAAAGUCAGAUGGCACCAACAGGAGCACUUCAAGGUACCCAGGGAGAACCUGAGAGCCCCAGCAGCAAGGACCGACACAGCACAGAGCACAGAAAUUGUGCGGUUCAGUGCAGAGGCACCAAGCAAAACACUCAA